AUGAACGCUGGCGGCGUGCCUAAUACAUGCAAGUCGAGCGAACGGACGAGAAGCUUGCUUCUCUGAUGUUAGCGGCGGACGGGUGAGUAACACGUGGAUAACCUACCUAUAAGACUGGGAUAACUUCGGGAAACCGGAGCUAAAACCGGAUGAUAUUUUGAACCGCAUGGUUCAAAAGUGAAAGACGGUCUUGCUGUCACUUAUAGAUGGAUCCGCGCUGCAUUAGCUAGUUGGUAAGGUAACGGCUUACCAAGGCAACGAUGCAUAGCCGACCUGAGAGGGUGAUCGGCCACACUGGAACUGAGACACGGUCCAGACUCCUACGGGAGGCAGCAGUAGGGAAUCUUCCGCAAUGGGCGAAAGCCUGACGGAGCAACGCCGCGUGAGUGAUGAAGGUCUUCGGAUCGUAAAACUCUGUUAUUAGGGAAGAACAUAUGUGUAAGUAACUGUGCACAUCUUGACGGUACCUAAUCAGAAAGCCACGGCUAACUACGUG
rnacentral:rRNA from 1 species